rnacentral:tRNA from 1 species
GCCUAGGUGGCUCAGUUGGUUAAGCGUCUGACUUCAGCUCAGGUGAUGAUCUCGUGGUUCGUGAGUUCAAGCCUCACGUUGGGCU